rnacentral:lncRNA from 1 species
GACAUAUUCGAUCGAUGAAAAAUACUUUUUAUAGAUUAGUUUGUCAGGAGAAUGAUUGAGUGAGCUUGAAAGUAUGGGUGGAGCUUCUGAGCAGUAAUGAAGAAGGCAUAGGCUAGCUUUUCGAGCUUUGAAUAUCAGAUCUCCGCAUCUCUUAAGAUCCGACUGAUAAGUAGUAGAUUGGCUUUUGGACCCUAUCCCGCUCUUAGACUAGUAUUGCACCCAUCACUGUAGGAG